UACAGAGGUCUCAAGCGUUGUUCGGAUUCAUUGGGCGUAAAGGGUGCGUGGGUGGCGGGGUAAGUCAGGUGUGAAAUUUCGGAGCUCAACUCCGAAACUGCAUUUGAUACUGCCUUGCUUGAGGACUGGAGAGGAGACUGGAAUUCACGGUGUAGCAGUGAAAUGCGUAGAUAUCGUGAGGAAGACCAGUGGCGAAGGCGGGUCUCUGGACAGUUCCUGACACUGAGGCACGAAGGCCAGGGGAGCAAACGGG
rnacentral:rRNA from 1 species